rnacentral:rRNA from 1 species
UACGAAGGGGGCUAGCGUUGCUCGGAAUCACUGGGCGUAAAGGGUGCGUAGGCGGGUCUUUAAGUCAGGGGUGAAAUCCUGGGGCUCAACUCCAGAACUGCCUUUGAUACUGAAGAUCUUGAGUUCGGGAGAGGUGAGUGGAACUGCGAGUGUAGAGGUGAAAUUCGUAGAUAUUCGCAAGAACACCAGUGGCGAAGGCGGUUGCCUGGAGCUUUGCUGACGCUGAGGCGCGAAAGCGUGGGGAGCGAUCCGG